rnacentral:lncRNA from 1 species
UUACGGACCCUGAAAAAUAAGAGAAAUACUUAACAAAUUUAAUGACUUCCAGAAGAUACGUACCAAUCCACUGCUUAAUUUGCUUGUAAGCGGCCUUGUUAACCUCGAAGGAGACCGAUGGAGCAAGCAUAGAAAAAUCAUAACCCUUGCAUUUCAUCAAGAUAAGUUGAAGGUAUAGAAUAGUAAUGGGUACUCAAGACUUUAAAGAAAACAUCAUACUUAAGCCUAUGCUUUUCUGAUUUAGAAAUAAUUGGAUGCAGAAUAUGUUGCCAGCAUUUUAUCAAAGUUGUAGUGACAUGUUUAAGCAAAUGGGAGAAGAUGGUGUGUACAGAAGGAUACAUUGAGUUAGAUGUGUCGCCUUAUCUCGUAGAUUUGACAAGAGAUGUUAUUUCCCGAUCUGCUUUUGGAAGCAGCUUCGAAGAAGGCAAACGAAUUUUCCAAUUACUAGAGGACCAACUCGUUCUCACAAUCAAAUUAAUACAAACUGUUUACAUUCCAGGAUGGAGGUAACCGUCUACUUUAAUUUACUUGAAAAAGGUUGCAAAUGUUGGAAUUGGCUAAAUUCGUGUUUGUUUUCUUGAAGGUUUUUGCCCACAAAGACAAACAGGGAGGUGAAGAUGAAACACAAAGACAUAAAAGAGUCGCUCAGGGAAAUGAUAAAAAGAAGAAAGCAGGCAAUUAAAGCAGGGGAAGAGAGUAAUGAGGACUUGUUGGACAUACUUGUGGAAUCCAAUAUCAGAGAAAUGGAAGCAAAGAAUAUGGGGAUGAGCAUUGAGGAUGUGAUUGAGGAAUGCAAGCUGUUUUACUUAGCUGGCCAGGAGACCACUUCGGUCUUACUGGUGUGGACUAUGGUUUUAUUAGCAAGGUAUCCCGAUUGGCAAAGUAAAGCAAGAGAGGAGGUUUUGCAUGUUUUGGGUGACAGUAAACCUGAUGCUGAUGGCCUUAAUCGUCUCAAAGUUGUAAGUCCCUAGCAUGUCUCUUGAAGGCCCGAUCUCUGAGGUCGACAACUCAAAAACUUGGUUCUUUGUUUCGCUAAUUCUACAGUUAACAAUGAUAUUGUACGAGGUUCUAAGGCUGUACCCACCAGUGAUUGAGCUAGGACGUUCCGUUCCAAAAGAAAUAAAACUGGGAAAUUUGUUGUUACCAGCAGGAACAGACGUUUCGGUUCCAAUCCUGCAGAUCCACCAUGACAAAGAUCUUUGGGGCGACGCCGCACGGGAAUUUAAGCCACAGCGGUUCACGGAAGGGGUUUCCUAAGCAACAAAGAGUCAAGUCACGUUUCUGCCAUUCGGAUGGGGUCCUAGGAUCUGCAUUGGCCAAAACUUUGCCAUGAUGGAAGCUAAAAUGGCGAUGGCUAUGAUUCUCCAACGCUUCUGGUUUGAGCUUUCCCCUUCCUAUGCUUACUCUCCUUACAACAUGGCAACUCUUCGUCCACAGCAUGGUGCACAGAUAAUUUUACAUAAACUUGGCUGUAAUUGAAUUGUUAUGUAAGCAAAUCUUUGUGAAAAUAUAGUGUUUUAGUGUAUCGUCAACGUCUGUCUGUAAUGGUACAAUUCCGAUGCAUGAAUAGUAAAUUUUGAGAUGUUUGGUGAAGUCCGAAAUAAUAUGCAGAAAUUGAGUGUCUAUGGUGGACAUAGUUGAGGGACUAAUGUGGUAAUUAUCAAUCAAAUAAUUCGGUACAAAGACUUAUAUGGAAAUUAAAGCAGGGGGAGUUGAAAAUGACUACUCUGCUUUGGGCAUCAAUUUAGAAAGAUUUAAAGUACAAAUGUGUUAUUAGUUAAGGGAUUUGUUUUAAAGAGGGAAUGACAAUUAAACCUCAUGGUUGAUUUGUGGAAGGGAACCAAUGAUGGGAUGAUUACUCUUAGUGGUGAAAAAAAAACUAUUAAGGUGGUUAUUAUAGUUGUUAUCACCAGCCUAAAAUUUGAAUAGGUUCAGGUCGGAUUAUAUUGAGCUUGCAAGAUUAGUUCACGGACCAAACUUGCAUGAUAAUAGGUAUUCACAACAAGAUAUCUAUAGUUUCCAACAAAGUCACAUGUGAGAUCGUGCAUUAGAACCGCAUAAACAUGUUUUAUGUUUAGAAUAUGAUAUGUGUCUAUGUGUAUAGAAUCUACCUAAUAUAUCAUAUUAAUGAAUAGUAUCAAUUGCGGAGCCAAAAAAUUAUUUGUGAGGGGUCAGAAUUAAAUUGUAUAUUUUUACAAAAAUAAAAAUUAAAUUUCACUAUUUUAAUAGUUUAUUUAUUUUUAAUUUUUAAAUGAUUAAAUUAAAUUUUAUAAAUUUUUAGGAUCAAAGUAUAAUUUUAUCAUUACUAAUUUAAAAUUUUAUAAAUUAUAAAAAGUUUAUAUGAAAAGUUUUCUAUUUUAGGGUGGCCAAAGCCCCUGUCAACUUCUGACUCGAUCACUUGCGGUUAGUUGGGUAAAGACUCAAGAAAAAUAGCGGUGUGUUUGGAUGGACGGUGCGUUUACUUGCGGUUAGUGUAAAAAUAGCGGUGGCGGUGAGAUUAGAUACUAUAGCAACACUGUAGCGUGAGACAAAAAGUAAGUUAAACGCACUGCACUGCACUUAAUCGUCUAUCUAAACUCACCAUAAGUGUCUAAAAUAUGAUUUAAGUGAAGAUACGUGGGGUAGGUGUCAUGGAAAUGUAAAAAAAAAAAAGAAUCCUACUAAUGUAUGGGAUGUGUACAAUUGAAUGCAGGAGUGAAUCAUUUGGGUAACAUUUGGACAAGAAACAUAAUGAACAAAAUGAAAGGAGAGGAAGCUAGUAAUAAAAGAUUCUUUUGGGUUAUAUAAUUUGUUUGGCAUAUAUUUUUAUAAUAUUUAAAUAUCAUUUUGGAGUUGUUGAAUUAUAAUUUAUUUUUAUGUUUUAAAACAUAAUUAUUCUAUUUUUAGAGGUCAGAGUAGAGGUGAGCAUGAGUCGGGCUACUCGGCUCGGGCUGAAGGCUUGCGCAAAAUGUGAGAGAUUUGGGUAAAAAUAUAGGCCCGAAAAAUGAGUUUAGACAAAAAAAAAUAUAAGGCCCGUUGAAAAAACAGGCUAGGCCUUGGGUAAGGCAUUUUGGCCCCAGACCCGGCCCAACCCAAAUUCACUAAGGGCACGUUUGGUUCGCUGUAUUGGAAUAGAGGCGUAAUGUAAUAGAGGCGUAAUGGAAUAGAGACGUAAUAGCAAAUCAAUUGUUUGGUUGAAUGUAAUGGAAUAGAGGCGUAAUAGUAUUCUUAUAUUUGGUUGAAUGGAAUAGAGUUGUAAUAGCAUAAGGAAAAAAGUUAAAAUGACUAGAAUACCCUUAGCAGAAAUUUGUUUAGAUAAAUGAUUAUUGUUAUUGUUAUUAAAUUUUAAUAAGAUUAUUAAUAUCAGUAAUAAAUAAUUUAAUCAUAUUUUAACAUAAUUAUUAUUAAAUAUAAUUUAAUAAAAAUAUAUAAUUUAAUAAAAUUCUUAAUAUUAAAUAUUCUUAAUAUUAAAUUACUAAAAUCAUAAUAUAUAAUACUAUAAAAUAUAAUUUAACAUAAUUAUUAUUAAAUAUAAUUUAAUAAAAUUCUCAAUAUUAAAUAUAUUCUUAUAUGAAUUUACUAAAAUCAUAAUAUAUAAUACUAUAAAAUAUAAUUUAAAAUAAUUAUUAUUAAAUAUAAUUUAAUAAAAAUAUAUAAUUUAAUCUAAAGUUUGAAUGUGUAUUUACCUAGCAAAAAUCAAUGAACUCUCGUGUAACUAUAACCUUAAUAAUAUAUGAUGUAUAAUUAAUAUUUCGUGACUAAUUAAUAGCAUAGAGAUAAAUAUAGUAAUGACGAAUUUAUAGUAUACGAUUAAAAUGCUAAUAAUUUAUAGUAUACAAUUAAAAUAUUAUAAAUAAAAUAAUAGUAAAUGAUAUAUAAGAUAAAUUAACAUAUAAAUAAUUCAGAUAUGUAAAGGAUAUGGCUGAAUAUGGUUGCUCCAAUAAUAAAGGAUAUAUAAUAUAUCAUGGUGUUGUUUUGUUUAGAUAGUUCGGUAACUUAGGAGGGUAUGUAUGAAGAACACAAGUUGAUGCAGAUAGAAAGACGACAAUAUUACAUGAUUACAAUAUGAUAUAGUAUAUAUAUAUAAUUUAUGGAUUCCUUGCAAUCACGUGGGUUCUCUAGCCAUUUUAUUUAGCAUAUCCAGUGAUAUUAAGAUCCAGAAUUAUAAUACAACUAAAAUCUGUGCACACUUAUGGAUGAUCCAACAAAGCCUCAGUUGGCUUUAGGUUCCAAAUCUUGCAACCCACAAACCAUAUUUGCUGGCACUGCAACAUCAAUCAUCUUAGGAUAUGCCAAGUUAAGAUCUGUUGCACCAACAAAAACAGAGGAGAAAUUGGAAGGCGAUCCGAAAAAACCCAAGGAUGCUUUUUCUUUUCUUUUUUUUUUAUAAUCUUUAUAGACUGGUUAUAUUGAGCAUCAACUUACUUUCCAUGAUGUUUUUGAAAGUCUCUUACAAAAAGGGUAUUCAACAAAUAAUAUAAUCAGACAUAUUGAUAGGACAAAUUGAAACUAGUAUUCUAUGAUCAUAAUAAAGAGUAAUCUUUAAUCAAAUGCGUGAAGGUAUUGAGAUGUCAUGCUUUUUCAUGAUUUCCUGUUUUACCAUGGCGAUGUUCAUUGGAAUAGUCCCAUCCAAGAGAAUCAAACCAAUGCUCAGCAAGAAAUGUUCAAUGCAUAUGUAAUUUUAAUUACAGAAGUUAUAUGCAGCUUAUAUGAGUUCAAGAUCAUAAAAUACUUCAUGGACAAAAGGAAACCCUUUCUUAUCACUGAAAUGAAAAUAGGCACUCUUAAUUUUCUAUUGUCAAAAGUAGCAAGCCAUUUUCCAAAGAAAAGGGAAGAUGGAUGGUUCCAGAAAGAAUACCUCAUCCUUUGUCAAGUGUGGAUUAUAUAGCAUCUCCUCUCCCACAGUGGUUACCUAUAAUCAAUGAGGUUUAUAAAAUCGAGCAAUCAUUUAUAUAUGUAAGAAAUGAUAGGAAUAAAGUUUUAUAUCUUACUGAGAAUCCUUUGUAGUCAUGAGCUGGAUAUAGCAAUGUCUCUUUCGGUAAUGUAAAAAUCUGGAUCCAUGAAACAAAUAAGUCCAUAAAUUUUAUUCAAAUUUUGACAAUUACAAUAAAAUUUUGAGAACUCAAAGAAUGUGACCAUAAAAAGUCCCCUGUCCUUACCUGUGAAUGCACUGACUUGUAGAGUUGCUGUGAACUUCCACCCUGCAAAAUGCAUUAAUCAGUGCUAGUCAAUGGCUACUGAAUGUGGGAGCAUUAGAGAAAAUUAUCUUAAAAACUUAAGUAUAACAAAAUUAGACAAUGACAUCCAGAUGGAAAGAAAUUGCCAGCAUAUAAGACCAGCAUUUAUGUACUCACGACUGAAAAUCCUUUGCAAAAAGUAUAGCCCUGAUAGUUCAAACUUUUACUUCAAGGAUGAUUUAAUUACUGAUUAGUUUGCCAUGAGGCUUGUGAAUGACAAACACUUUAUGUGCAACCACAGUAACAAGGUAAGCACCAAUAAGUAGAAGACUAGACGAAUAGGUAACCAAGAGUUAGAGCUAAAACAGACAAACAGAGCUACUAUCCAAUGAGCUAAAACAUACAAACAGAGGUAUAUUUUAAUAAUGAAAAUAAUCGAUUGCCUUAAACACCAUAUAGUGUUCCAAUCAAUCAAAUUAUAGCAGGCAUUAAAACCUUUCCCUUUCGUUAAUUCACAACUAUUAGCUUCAUUAAUCAAAUCCUAUGUACAGUUGAUCGAUUGAAAGUGUAACAUUUCAAAGACGAAAUUUAAACGCAAAACUGGUUAACAUUGAAAUUACAUGUAAAUAUAACCUAAAAAAUCAAAAAAUUAAUCAUAUUUUCAGAUUUCAGGCCGAAAUGGAAUGAAAUGAAAGGUAAAUCCAUUUUUUCCCCAAAAAAACAAAAAUAAAGAAAUAAUAUUUCAAGAACAGAUCAUUAAAUUCAUGGUAUAUAUAAAGAAAUUUAAUUGAAAUCAAAGGAAUAGAAGAAGGGAAAAGCGUACUUGGAACCAUUGCUGCUACUCUCUGUUACUCUGUUACCUCAUACGAUUCGUUAAAGGGUUGUUAGGGUUUGUUAAAAGGUUGGUCAGGAUAGAAGCAUGAAAAGGAGGGAGAAGGUUGGAAGGAAAUGGGAAGAAAAAUGAAAAAAAGAAGAAGAUGCUGCAACGGCUUGGAGGGUAAAAGAGGACCGAUUAGGUAAUCCUUUCUUUUGGAAGGGAUUACAAAUCGGCGCUGCAUAAGGGAAAAUGGGGAAUCAGUGCGCUGCGUAAUAGGCCCGUAUUAAGGCAAUACAGCCAACCAAACAUGGUAAUCAGUGGGGCCACGAAUUAGGGGUGUAUUGGCUAAUCCAAUACACCCAACCAAACAUGCUCUAAAGGACAAAAAAAUUUGAUUUUUUAAAUAUUAUUUUCUCUCUAUUUUGCUAUCAUUUUACUAUUAUGUUGCUACUAUGUUAUUGUUAUUUUUGAAUAUUGUAUAAAACUUAUUUUAUUGUUAAUUUUGUUAUUAUUUUAAAGACAUUUGUUAAUUUUGUUAUUAUUUUAGAGACAUUUGUUUGUUAAGUUGCAUCUAUCUUAGUGUUAUUUAAGUAUACAUAUUUUUUAAAAUUUAUUUUCAAUUUAUUGGGAAAUAUUUAUUUUGAUGUUUUUAGUAUUUUGGAUGUAUUAUAUAUAUUAAAAUUAUAUAAAAAUUAAUAUGGCCGAGCCAGGUCAGGCCCAGAUUUUAGCAUUUUUAUUCAGGUCGGGCUUGAGCAAAAUUUUAAGCCCAUUUUUUGGGCCAAACCAGGCCUGGGCUUAGCAAAUGGGCCUAAAUUUUUAGUCAAGCUCGACCUAAACCCGAUCCGGCCCAUGCUCACCUCUAGAUCAGAGCUGCCCUCGCUUUGCAUUUCUUUGAGAUUCAGUCUUAUCUACUGUUGAUUGCCCACUCAAUGGAGGGUUGAGUAGAAAGAUUUGGUGAAGCAAGCUAAGCUAUCAAUCAAGGUUGGAGAAAGCUUAGGAGGUCACAAUGCAUAAUUAUUUAAAUGUAAUUCUAAUAUUUAAAUAAAAUUUAUUAAUAUAGUAUUAACAAGCCCUAAAUGUAAUGAUUAUAUACUAUUACAUUUUUAAGAAGAGAAAACAUGUUUGAACCUUAAAAACAUCAUUAUUAAAAAUGAUAAUUACAAAUUUUAAAAUAUAAAAAAUAUAAUUAAAAAUUAAUUUUAAACCCGAGCUGGAUAAAAUUCUAAUUUUAGAUAACGAUACUAAUAAGAAAUCAAUAUUAAAAUGAAAAUGAAAAGUAAUUUAAUAUAAUUUUUGAGUCUUGGGCAAAGGCACUCAAUGAAUGCUUGGAAAGAAAUAAUGCAACUUGGUGAUAGCUUUUGUUGGAGUAAUAUGCUCUUAUUAUAGUUUUAUGUUUUUAUCUUGCAAAAACAACAUAUUGGAGUUUUCGGCAUGAUUUUUUCUUAAUACUUUACAUGAAAAAUAAUAAUGGGACUUAAAUUGCUACAAUAUUACAACACAAAGUUACAAUAAGAGCUUAUAACUCAACAAAGGCUAUCAAUAAAUAAUCUCAGGCAAGCUAAAGAGAAAUGUUGAGAAUACCACCCGAAUAGUGACUGACUUUAAAAGUUGAAAACCCGAAGCUAUAUUAUCUCAAACGAAAUCAAACCAUAAACAUUAAAAUUUUCAAGUCUACUAGUUACUGUAAAAAAUUCAGCUCCAACAGACACCAAAUGAGCCUUUGAUCGAAGAAAGUACGAAAAAUAGUCUAGGUAAACCAAGCUUCCAAACUUACUUAUCUUAUCUUUAAUUUGCAGUGAAAUUCAAAAUUAAGAUUUUGUUUAUUUCACUUGGAACAACUUUCAAAAAAUUAUUUUUGAAAAAUGAAUUGGUUUUUCGAAAUAGAUGAUAUUUUAUUGUGUCAAAAUUUUAUUCAUUGUAGGAAAACUUUUUUUAAAUCAUUUUCUUAGAGUUAUUUUUAGUUAAAUAAACAUAACAUAAAUAUAUUUGUUACAAAAAAUUAUACUAGUAUUUUCUUUUGACAAUUAAAAUUUAUUUUAUGGUAAGACAAUAUUUUAUAAUAAUUAAUAUCAUAUAUAUACGUAAUAAAAAUCAUGUUUAAUUAAAAUUUAAUUAAAAUUAGAUGUAUUAAUAAAGCUACUCCUCCACAACCCGCAUCCGCAACAGCACCAGCACCAGCACCAGCACCAGCAUCAGCACCAUGGGACAACUAUUGGGUUUCCUCCACCUGCCUCUAUCGCUCCUCCUCAGUAUUACCCCCAAGCCUACCAGACCGUGCCGGGUAUUCUACAAAUAUGAAAAAACCUUCUUCUCUUUUUAUUAGCUUAUCGAAAUGAAGGAUUUUGAGAUUUGGGCUUUUGUUAGAUGGAUGGUUAAUGAUAUUUUUUAGAUGAAAGAUACAAGUUUUUUAAUGUUUUAGAAGAAAAGGUGUUUAAAUAUUAGGAGUUUUUUAGCAGAGAAAGAAGAUAAAUAAAUGCAUAGAGAUACAUUAGCAAUAUUAUUUGGAUUUGGUUGUCUAAUGUAAUGAAGAAUUUUUUAAGGGUGACCUGAGUAGGUGUGGCAAGAUUCAAAGUUUUUUCUAUUAUAGCAGAUAUAUAUAUAUUAAUGGUUUAAGAAGACUAGAAGUCGGUUUCAAAGGAAGAUGAGAAAUAAAAGCAUUUAUAUAUAUGAUAUGUCAUUAAUUCAUAAACCAAAUAUAUAAAGUAUGUAAAAGUGUCAGGGGUUAAUCAUGGUGUUUUGACAAUCCGGUAACCUUCAACUUGAAGAAAACCUUAGGUUUCAAAAAUUUAUGUGAAGAGUUAGAAUGGUAUGCUUCAUGGAUCUGAAUAACUAGAACAGUGUAAGAGUGGUAUAUUGUGUCAAGUUUGGUUUCUUGUAUAUAAUUGUAUCGAAAACAAUGUUACAUGAGUUAAAAUGAAUGUUCAUCCAAUUUAACAAAGCCUGCAUUAUGUUGAUCAAAAUUUUUAAUUCAUGUUGAGGUUUCUUCCGUGAUAUCUUUGAUGUCAAGGUUAUGAUGUUGCUGAAGGGACACCUGUAAGAGAUAAGCCACCGUGCUGUGGCAUUGGAUUCGGAUGGUUCUUGUAAGUGUACAUAGUUUUCUUUGUUUUUAAAGAGUUCUUUACAUAUGAAGUAAAACAAGUAGCGACUUGAUGGAUAUGUCAUUAAGCUUUAACUUAAGCAAAUCAUUUUCCUUCAUCUCUAAUUGCCAUUUCUUUAAAAGAAAAAGAGGAAGUUUUGUAGUUUACAGUUUGGACAAAUGGAAGUUAAUAUAAUGCACUAUUUGGAUGGACUAUGGAGAUAUCCAAUCAUAUUGGAUGAGUUAUAAGAAACCUGUGAGUUCAUAUUGGGUUUACUUUAUAUCAUAAUUAGAUUGUUGAGCUGGCUGUCAUACUUAGAUGGUAUUUCACGUUGCUACUUGUUAAACUAUACCACUUUCACAUUCAUACGUGAAAUGGCUGGGAUUUAGUGCCAUUCUACUUAGCAGCCUCGUGUAAUACACAGGUGAAAUGUUUAUGUCUUCAUGUCACCUUAAAGUUCCCAUUUCCAUGACGGUAUUGUUAAGUAAAGACUGGUACAUACCCCAAAAUACGGAAAUUGUUUUGGAUGUAUACUAUACUUUACCAUGCAUGAUUUUUUACAAGUUUGCAUGGUAUUUUAUCAUUAUAUUGGUCUUUAUUUUCUAUACUCGCAGCUUCCAUUAAUAUAUUUUUAUGAAUUUUAUCAUUAUGCUGGUUUGAAGGUUCAUCAUUGGUUUCUUCAUUGGGGGCCAUCCCUGGUAUAUUGGAUUCUUUGUUUUACUUUGUGCAAGGAUAGACGACAGAGAGAAAGCAGGAUAUAUUGCAUGCACAAUUGCCGUGAGUAUCUUUUCUAUCAUUAUUUUUUUCUUUUCCAAUUUUAUGAAAGCCAUCCUUCCUGCCUUGUAUUGAUCAUCAAUUUAACCAUUAUAUAUAUGUAUCUUAUGUAUUUGUACCAUGCUUUAUCUUCAAUGCAAAUAUAAGUUAAACUACAAAGAUUGGAUUGUUAAAAAAAGUUUAAAAUGUUAAAAAAAUUGAAAAUUUUGAUUUUGUAAGAAUGAUAGAAAACCAAGGCCAGUGCUUGCAUAUGUUAUCUACUACAUGCACAAUCGGGUCGAUGUCUGUAUAUGUUUCAUGUUUAGAAAUCGUGUUCAAUUGGGUUACGAUAUGUACAAUUGAAGUGUCAAUUUAUAAUUUCCUUAUCAAGAUUACACAUUUUUUUGUUAAUAUUCGGAAUCACUCAAUGGUUAUAAACCCUGAUUGGAUACUGUCCACAAAGUCUAGUUGGAACAUCCCUUGUAUUCUUUGUCCUUUCUAAGAACUUUCCUUUCCAUCAUUCUCGCUUCUGUUUUUUUUUUCUUCCCUCUACUUUAAGUCAUUAUCUAACGUAGAUAUCCCUUGUAUUCUUUGUCCUUUCUAUGGCAAUCGAGUCAAUUGAUGGCAAGCCAAAAAAACAAAAAGAGCAGCUAUCCUGUCUUACUCGAUUGCCAUCCCUCCUGUUAAACACCAUUAAGAAAAGGAAAAUUUUAGUUAAGCUUUAAAACAGCCAUGUUUUAACGAUGUUGGUGAUGGUGCUUGUGCAGGCCCUUCUUGCUACAAUUACAAUUAUUCUUAGUGCAACAAUUAAAGCUGGUGGGUGAUAAAGCACACCUCUUUUGACUGAGAGAUGUAUAGGUUCCCAAAUAAUAUGUAUAUGCUCCCCCCCCUCCCUUUAUUUUAUUUUAUUUCCAGUAAGUUAUUGUUUAUGAUAAUUUGCAACAAAUGUUUUUGUCAUUAUUUUGUUGGUGAAUGAUAAUAAGAUUAAGCUUUACUUUCUUAAGCUCCAAUUCCUUGGACGUUGGUGAUUUUUUUAUUAUAGUUGAGUCAUUGUAUGGUAUUAAUAUAAUUUAUGUCGCUUAAAAUUUAUAACUAAAAAUAUAAAAUUUAAAUUUUACUUCAAUUUAUUUGUAUUUAUAAAUGGUUAAUUCAAACUUAUUUUUUUCCUCAUUAUAUUUUAUAUUUAAAUUAACAUUUAAACUAUUUUUCAUUAGCAAUGUUGUUAAGAAUUAUAUUUUUUAGCACCAACAUCAAACUUACUAAAAUUAAAUUUUUAACUAUUUAAAAAAAAUAUUUUUAGCUAUUUAUCAUCAUAGAGAAAAAAAGGUGACGUCACCACGCCUCAUGCUUCGACACCACAAACUAGACUCUCAUCACCCGUAUUUAUCAUCGAUUCAAAUUCCAGAACUACCUAAAAAUAUAUCUUCAAACUUCCUCUGGUUAAGUUCAUUGAUAGUCAACUUACUAUCAUUUCUAAAAAAAAAACAAAUAAAUUGGUUAAUAGUAAUCUCAAUGAUUCAAUUUUAUUCUUACCAGUAUCUGUCCUUUAGAAAGGGGCUUAUAAAAGGGGUAGAGGUGAGUAAACUUGAGCUUCAGCUUUCCACAAACACCUUAAUUUGAAGACACAGUUCUCUCAUACUAAAAAAGACAUGGAAGUUUACCUUGUAAUUAGAGAUUUGGUUUCAUUGCUUGUUGUUGGGUUAUUAAUGAUAUGGGGAUGCAGAACUUUAAACUGGGUAUGGCUGGCCCCAAAAAGGCUCGAAAGCUGCUUGAGACAACAGGGUUUUGCAGGGAAUCCUUACAGGUUCCUUUCUGGUGACAUAAAAGAGCUCUCAACUAUGAGCAGACAAACAAGAGCCAAACCUAUGCCUCUUAGUGAUGAUAUUGGGCCUUAUGUUGUUCCUUUUCAACAUCAAACUGCUAACCAGUAUGGUAUGUUUUUUUUGUUUAAUCUGCAAUUUAUGAUAAUUCUUUGUUAUUUAUGUAUGGAAUUUAUUGGGAGGAAAUGCAGGAAAGAAUUCAUUUACGUGGUUUGGUCCAAGACCAAGGGUGAACAUUACGGACCCUGAAAAAAUAAGAGAAAUACUUAACAAAUUUAAUGACUUCCAGAAGAUACAUACCAAUCCACUGCUUAAUUUGCUUGUAAGCGGCCUUGCUAACCUCGACGGAGACCGAUGGAGCAAGCGUAGAAAAAUCAUAAACCCUGCAUUUCAUCAAGAUAAGUUGAAGGUAUAGAAUAGUGAUGGGUAAUCAGACUUUACAGAAAACAUCAUACUUAAACCUAUGCUUUUCUGAUUUAGAAAUAAUUGGAUGCAGAAUAUGUUGCCAGCAUUUUAUCAAAGUUGUAGUGACAUGUUAAGCAAAUGGGAGAAGAUGGUGUGUACAAAAGGAUACAGUGAGUUAGAUGUGUGGCCUUAUCUCGUAGAUUUGACAAGAGAUGUGAUUUCCCGAUCUGCUUUUGGAAGCAGCUUCGAAGAAGGCAAACGAAUUUUCCAAUUACUAGAGGACCAACUCGUUCACAUAAUCAAAUUAAUACAAACUGUUUACAUUCCAGGAUGGAGGUAACCGUCAACUUAAUUUACUUGAAAAAGGUUGCAAAUGUUGGAAUUCGCUAAAUUCGUGUUUGUUUUCUUGAAGGUUUUUGCCAACGAAGACAAACAGGGAGAUGAAGAUGAAACACAGGGACAUAAAAGAGUUGCUUAUGGAAAUGAUAAAGAGAAGGGAGAAGGCAAUUAAAGCAGGGGAAGAGAGCAAUGAGGACUUGUUGGACAUACUUGUGGAAUCCAAUAUCAGAGAAAUGGAAGCAAAGAAUAUUGGGAUGAGCAUUGAGGAUGUGAUUGAGGAAUGCAAGCUGUUUUACUUAGCUGGCCAAGAGACCACUUCGGUCUUACUGGUGUGGACUAUGGUUUUAUUAGCAAGGUAUCCCGAUUGGCAAAGUAAAGCAAGAGAGGAGGUUUUGCAUGUUUUGGGUGACAGUAAACCUGACGCUGAUGGCCUUAAUCGUCUCAAAGUUGUAAGUCCCUAGCAUGUCUUUUGAAGGUCCGAUCAAUGAGGUCGACAACUCAAAAACUUUGUUUCUUUUUUCGCUAAUUCUACAGGUAACAAUGAUAUUGUACGAGGUUCUAAGGCUGUACCCACCGGUGGUUGAGCUAGAACGUUCCGUUCCAAAAGAAAUAAAACUGGGGAAUUUGUUGUUACCAGUAGGAACAGAAGUUUCGGUUCCGAUCCUGCUGAUCCACCAUGACAAAGAUCUUUGGGGCGAUGACGCACGGGAAUUUAAGCCAGAGCGGUUCGCGGAAGGGGUUUCCAAAGCAACAAAGAGUCAAGUCACGUUUCUGCCAUUCGGAUGGGGUCCUAGGAUCUGUAUUGGCCAAAAUUUUGCUAUGAUGGAAGCCAAAAUGGCGAUGGCUAUGAUUCUCCAACGCUUCUGGUUCGAGCUUUCCCCUUCCUAUGCUCACUCUCCUUACGGCAGGGCAACUCUUCGUCCACAGCAUGGUGCACAGAUAAUUUUACAUAAACUUGGCUGUAAUUGAAUUGUUAUGUAAACAAAUCUUUGUGAAAACAUAGCGUUUUAGUUUAUCGUCAAAGUCCGGUGUCUGUAAUGGUACAAAUUCGAUGCAUGAAUAGUAAAGUUUGAGAUGUUUGGUGAAGUCCGAAAUAAUAUGCAGAAAUUGAGUGUGGUAAUUAUCAAUCAAAUAAUUCGGUACAAAGACUUACAUGGAAAUUAAAGCAGGGGGAGUUGAAAAUGACUACUCUGCUUUGGGCAUCAAUUUAGAAAGAUUUAAAGUACAAAUGUGUUAUUAGUUAAGGGAUUUGUUUUAAAGAGGGAAUGACAAUUAAACCUCAUGGUUGAUUUGUGGAAGGGAACCGAUGAUGGGAUGAUUAUUCUUAGUGGUAAAAAAAACUAUUGUGGAGGUUAUUAUACUUGUUAUCAUCGGCUUAAAAUUCGAAUGGGUUCAAGUCGGAUUAUAUCGAGCUUGUAAGAUGAGUUCACGGAUCAAAUUUGCAUAAUAAAAAUACUUAAAUGAAAAAAAUUUCUAUUUUAGAGGGACCAGAGCCCCUACCAAUUCCCGGCUCAGCUACUAAACAAUACCCAUAUCAUAUAAAUAAAUACCACCAUAAAAAAAACUCAAAGAAAAACACUGACAAAUGAUAAAUAGAUAGAUGUUGGAUAAGUGUCCAAAAUAUGAUUUAAGUGAAGAUACAUGGGGUAGGUGUCACGGAAAUGUGAAUACAAGAAUACUACUAAUGGGAUGUGUACAGUUGAAUGUAGGGAGCAAAAAGAGGAGUGAAUCAUUUUGGUAACAUUGGGACAAGAAACAUAAUGAACAAAAUGGAAGGAGAGGAAGCUAGUAAAAGAAAUUUUUUGGGUCAUAUAAUUUGUUUGGCAUAUAUUUUUAUAAUUUUUAAAUAUCAUUUUGGACUUGAAUUAUAAUUUUUUUAUAUAUUAUCUUAAAAUUGUAUAAAUUUUAAGGAGUUAAAACAAAAUUAUUCUAUUUUUAGAUGGUUAAAGUAGAGAUGAUAAUGGGUUGAGCUAUUCGGCCCAGCCUGACGAUCCACCCGAAAAAUAGGAAGGUUUGGGUAAAAAUAUAGGCUUGAAAUAUGAAUUUGAGCAAAAAAAGAGGCCCGUUUAGAAAAUGGGCCGAGCCUCGGGUAAAACCUUUUGGGUCUAGACCUGACCUAAAUUAUAUAUUAAAUAUAUAUAUUUUUAUUUUUAAUCAAAUAUACUUUUGUUUUAUUAUUAAUUUGGUUAUUAUUUUAGUUCUAAUUUGUUUCAAUUUUAAUAUAACUACUUUUUAUUAUAUUUUCAAUUUGUGCAUUGUUUUAAGAAUUAUUUUAGUCUCAUUAUUUAUUUAUUUUUUAUUUUAAUAUUUGUUUUAAAAUUUUUUAUUUAUUGAAAUAAGCUAAAAAAAUUAAUAUGGGUUGGACCAGACCGGGCUCGGGCCUAGUAAUUUUCUUUUGGGCCGGACUUAAACAAAUUUUUAAGCCCAUAUUUUGAAUUGGGUCCUACACUAGAAAAUGGACCUAAAAUUUUGUAUUACCUUUAGGUCAGAGCUAUCCUCGUUUUGCAUUUCUUUGAGAUUCAGCCUUAUUUACUUUUGAUUGCCCACUCAAUAGAGGGUUGAGUAGAAAUAUUUGGUGAAGCAAGCUAAGCUAUCAAUCAAGGUGUGCAUAAUUAUUUAAAUGUAAUUCUAAUAUUAAAAUAAAAUUUUUAUUAAUAUAGUAUCAACAAGCAUUAAAUGUAAUCAUCAUAUACUAUUAAAUUUUCAAUAAGAGAAAACAAGCUUGAACUUUAAAAACGAUGUUACUAAAAACAUUAUCACAAAUCUUGAAAUAUAAAAAAUACUUUUUAAUAUAAUAAAAAAAUAAUUUUAAAACCGAGAUGAAUAAAAUUCUAAUUUUAAUUAAUGAUACCAACAACAAAUCAAUAUUUAAAUUAAAAUUUAUCUUAAUUUAAUAUAAUAAAAUUGGACUUGAAUAUUGAAUUUUUGAGUCUUGGGCAAAGUAGAGGUGCUCAUGGGCCGGGUUGGGUCGGGUUUGGGAAAAAUUUCGGCCCGCAUCCUAGGCUCGGGCUCGGCCCGACCCAAAUAUGGGCCUAAAAUUUUGUCUAGGCCUAGCCCGGCCCGGCCCAACUCAUUUUUUUUAAUAAACACCAAAAAUUUAUUUUGAAAAUAAAAAAAUAAAAAAAGUAUUUUAAAAAUAUUUUAAAAUUUUUAAAAAAUAUAUAUAUUUAUUAUAUAUUCGGGCCGGGCCAGGCCCGAGCCAAAAAAGUGGCGCCCAAGGCCCGGCCUGUUUUCUAAACGGGACUCAUUUUUUACCCAAACCCAUAUUUCGGGCCUAUAUUUCUACCCGAAUCUCUCAUAUUUAGGGCGAACCGUCGGGCCGGACCGGGCCGCCCGGCCAUGAACACCUCUAGGACAAAGUCACUCAAUGAAUGCAUGGAAAGAAAUAAUGCAACUUGGUGAUAGCUUUUGUUGGAGUUAUAUGCUUUUUUUUUACGUAGUGGAACUUUCGGUGGAUUUUCAAGUUUCAUGAACUUUAUACUCUAUGCUUUACGUGAAAAAAAAAAUUCAUUGGACUUAAAAGUCUACCAAAAGUUUCACUAAAAAAAAAACCAUUGCUACAAGAUUACAACAUAAAGUUACAAUAAGAGCUUAUAACUCAACAAAGGCUAUCAAUAAAUAAUCUCAAACAAAUUAAAGAGAAAUGUUGAGAGUACCACUCGAAUAGUGAUUAACUUUAAAAAUUGAAAACCCAAAGUUAUAAUAUCCCAAACGAAAUCAAACCAUAAACAUUAAAUUUUUCGAGUCUACUAGAUACUGCAAAAAAUUCAGCUCCAACAGACACCAAAUGAACCUAUGAUCGAAGAAAAUACGAAAACUAGUCUAGCUAAAUCAAGCUGCCAAACUUACUUUUUAUCUUAUCUUUAAUUUGCUGUGAAAUUCAAAACUAAGGUUUUGUACUUAGAACAACUUUCAAAAAGUUAAUUUUGAAAAAUGGAUUGAAUUUUCAAAAUAGAUGAUAUUUUAUUGUGUUAAAAUUUUAUUCGUUGUUUGAAAAAAAAUUUAAAUCAUUUUCUUAGAAUUAUUUUUAGUGAAACAAACAUAUCAUAAAUAUAUUUGUUAUAAAAUAUUUAUAUUAAUAUUUUCUUUUAACAAUUAAAAUAUAUUUUGUGAUAAGGUAUAUUUUAUAAUAAUUAAUAUCAUAUAUACUUAAUAAUAAAUCAUGUCUAAUUAAAAUUUAAUUUCAAUUAAAUAUAUUAAUAAAGCUACAUAUAAUCAUAUUUUAUAUAAUAAAAAUAUUAAUAUAAAUAUUUUUUUAAUAAUAUAUUAAAGAAUAUUUAAAAUUUAAAUUUAUUAUUACUAAGAUUAAUUAUUAAAAUAAAAAUGUAAUGUUAAAUAAUUUAUCCAAUGAUAAGUUAUAUUAAUAAUUUAUUAUAUUAUUAAAUAUAAAUAAUUAAAUAUGUAUGUUUAAUAAUAUUAUGUUAUAAUAUUUAUUAUUAAUAUUUUAAUAUUUUUAAACAACCAUGUUUUAAAGAUGGUGGUGAUGGUGAUGGUGCAGGCCCCCUUGUUACAAUUACAAUAUUUUUAAGUGGGAUGCAUGUAAUAUAUUGUUAGGGUUUUAGAGUGUGUGGUCUUUAAAAGGGUUAAAUUAUAUAUUUAUAUAAUAUGAUUAUUGUUUAUAAAUAUAAUAUUGUAGAUAAACUUUUAUGCAUGUCAAUAUGUAUCCUACUCUGGGGUUAAUAUGUAUUUUUAGAUAUGGAUUCACCUAUAUAAUAGUAUGAAUCCAUCAUGCGGUCUCAUGAAAUAUACAAACACAUAUCGUGCGAACACAAAGUACGAACAAUAAAAAGUACAAAUCAAGACCAAUUGAGUAAUUGAAUAGCAGAUAGGUAAUAAUGACUAUCCCCUCUUGUUUGAAUUUAUUUUAUUUCCAGUGAGUUAUCGUUUAUGAUAAAUUUACAACAAAUGUUUUUAUCAUUAUUUUGUUGGUAAAUGAUAAUAAGAUUAAACUUUACUUUCUUAAGCUCCUUCAAUUCUUUGGACGUUAGCAAGUAAACUUGAGCUUCAGCAUUCCACAAACACCUUAAUUUGAAGACACAGUUCUCCCAUACUAAAAACAACAUGGACGUUUACCUUGUAAUUAGAGAUUUGGGCUCAUUGUUAGGUUAUUAAUGAUACGGGGAUGGAGAGCUUUAAACUGGGUAUGGCUGGCCCCAAAGAGGCUCGAAACGUGCUUGAGACUAGAGGUCCAGGCAAAUUUUUAGGCCCAUUUUUUAGGCCUGGACUGGGCCCGACUCGAAAUAUGAGCUUAAAAAUUUGUCUAAGUUCGGUCCAAAAGAAAAUUGUUAAGCCUAAGCCCGGCCCAUAUUAAAUUUUACAACACCAAAAAACUAUAUAUUUAAUAUAUAUAUUUGAUUAAAAAGUAUAUUUAAUUAAAAAUAAAAAUAUAUAUUUAAUAUAUAAUUCGGGCCGGGCCGAACUCGGGCCAAAAAAGUUUUACUCGGGGCUGGUCCGUUUUCUAAACAGACCUCGUUUUUUUGUCAAAAUCCAUAUUUUAGGCUUAUAUUUUUACCCGAAACUUCCUAUUUUUCGGGUGAACCGUCAGGCCGGACUAGGUAGCCCAACCAAUGAUCACCUCUACUUGAGACAACAGGGUUUUGCAGGGAAUUCUUACAGGUUCGUUUCUGGCGACAUAAAAGAGCUCUUCACUAUAAGCAUACAAACAAGAGCCAAACCUAUGCCUCUUAGUGAUGAUAUUGGGCCUUAUGUUGUUCCUUUUCAACAUCAAACCGUCAAUCAGUAUGGUAUGUUUUUUAAUUUAAUCUGCAAUUUAUGAUAAUUCUUUGCUAUUUAUGUAUGGAAUUUAUUGGGAGGAAAUGCUGGGAAGAAUUCAUUUACGUGGAUUGGUCCAAGAUCAAGGGUGAACAUUACGGACCCGGAAAAAUAAGAGAAAUACUUAACAAAUUUAAUGACUUCCAGAAGGUACGUACCAAUCCACUGCUUAAUUUGCUUGUAAGCGGCCUUGUUAACCUCGAAGGAGACCGAUGGAGCAAGCAUAGAAAAAUCAUAACCCUUCAUUUCAUCAAGAUAAGUUGAAGGUAUAGAAUAGUGAUGGGUACUUAGACUUAAUUUACAGAAAACAUCAUACUUAAAUCUAUGCUUUUCUGAUUUAGAAAUGAUUGGAUGCAGAAUAUGUUGCCAGCAUUUUAUCAAAGUUGUUGUGACAUGUUAAGCAAAUGGGAGAAGAUGGUGUGUACAGAAGGAUACAGUGAGUUAGAUGUGUGGCCUUAUCUUGUAGAUUUGACAAGAGAUGUGAUUUCCCGAUCUGCUUUUGGAAGCAGCUUCGAAGAAGGCAGACGAAUUUUCCAAUUACUAGAGGACCAACUCGUUCUCACAAUCAAAUUAAUACAAACUGUUUACAUUCCAGGAUGGAGGUAACCCUCAACUUAAUUUACUUGAAAAAGGUUGCAAAUGUUGGAAUUGGCUAAAUUCGUGUUUGUUUUCUUGAAGGUUUUUGCCAACAAAGACAAACAGGGAGAUGAAGAUGAAACACAGACAUAAAAGAGUCGCUUAGGGAAAUGAUAAAGAGAAGGGAGAAGGCAAUUAAAGCAGGGGAAGAGAGCAAUGAGGACUUGUUGGACAUACUUGUGGAAUCCAAUAUCAGAGAAAUGGAAGCAAAGAAAAAGGGGAUGAGCAUUGAGGAUGUGAUUGAGGAAUGCAAGCUGUUUUACUUUGCUGGCCAGGAGACCACUUCGGUCUUGCUGGUGUGGACUAUGGUUUUAUUAGCAAGGUAUCCCGAUUGGCAAAGUAAAGCAAGAGAGGAGGUUUUGCAUGUUUUGGGUGACAGUAAACCUGAUGCUGAUGGCCUUAAUCGUCUCAAAGUUGUAAGUCCCUAGCAUGUCUCUUGAAGGUCCGAUCUCUGAGGUCGACAACUCAAAAACUUGGUUUCUUUGUUUCGCUAAUUCUACAGUUAACAAUGAUAUUGUACGAGGUUCUAAGGCUGUACCCACCAGUGAUUGAGCUAGGACGUUCCGUUCCAAAAGAAAUAAAACUGGGAAAUUUGUUGUUACCAGCAGGAACAGACGUUUCGGUUCCAAUCCUGCAGAUCCACCAUGACAAAGAUCUUUAGGGCGACGACGCACGGGAAUUUAAGCCACAGCGGUUCACGGAAGGGGUUUCCUAAGCAACAAAGAGUCAAGUCACGUUUCUGCCAUUCGGAUGGGGUCCUAGGAUCUGCAUUGGCCAAAACUUUGCCAUGAUGGGAACCAAAAUGGCGAUGGCUAUGAUUCUCCAACGCUUCUGGUUCGAGCUUUCCUCUUCCUAUGCUUACUCUCCUUACAACAUGGCAACUCUUCGUCCACAGCAUGGUGCACAGAUAAUUUUACAAAAACUUGGCUGUAAUUGAAUUGUUAUGUAAACAAAUCUUUGUGAAAAUAUAGUGUUUUAGUGUAUCGUCAAAGUCUGCCUGUAAUGGUACAAUUCCGAUGCAUGAAUAGUAAAUCUUGAGAUGUUUGGUGAAGUCCGAAAUAAUAUGCAGAAAUUGAGUGUCUUGAAUGGAUGUAGUAUUUAAUGGUGGACAUAGUUGAGGGACUAAUGUGGUAAUUAUCAAACAAAUAAUUGCAUAUGGUACAAAGACUUGUAUGGAAAUUAGAGCAGGGCGAGUUGAAAAUUACUACUUUGCUUCGGGCAUCAAUUUAGAAAGAUUUAAAGUACAAAUGUAUUAUUAGUUUAAGGGAUUUGUUUUAAAGAAGGAAUGACAAUUAAACCUCAUGGUUGAUGUGUGGAAGGGAACCAAUGAUGGGAUGAUUACUCUUAGUGGUAAAAAAAAAAACUAUUAAGGUGGUUAUUAUAGUUGUUAUCACCGGCCCAAAAUUCGAAUAGGUUCAGGUCGGAUUAUAUUGAGCUUGUAGAUGAGUUUGCAUGAUAAUAGGUGUUCACAGAAAGAUAUCUAUAGUUUCCUACAAAGUCACAUGUGAGAUCGUGCAUUGGGACCGCAUAAAAAUGUUUUAUGUUUAGAAUAUGAUACGUGUCUAUGUGUAUGGAAUCUACCUAAUAUAUCAUAUUAAUUAAUAGUAUCAAUUGCGGAGCCAAAAAAUUAUUUCUGAGGGGUCAGAAUUAAAUUGUAUAUUUUUACAAAAAUAAAAAUUAAAUUUCACUAUUUUAAUAGUUUAUUUCUUUUUAAUUUUUAAAUGAUUAAAUUAAAUUUUUAUAAAUUUUUGGGAUCAAAGUACAAUUUUAUCAUUUCUAAUUUAAAAUUUUAUAAAAUAUAAAAAGUUUAUAUGAAAAGUUUUCUAUUUUAGAGUGGCCAAAGCCCCUGCCAACUUCCGACUCGAUCACUAAACAAUAUAAAUAAAUAAAUACCACCAUCUAAAAGACUCAAGAAAAACACUCAACGAUAAAUAGAUAGAUGUUGGGUAAAGAUACGUUUGGAUGGGCGGUGCGUUUACUUGCGGUUAGUAUAAAAAUAGCGGUGGCGGUUAGAUUAGAUACUAUAGCAACACUGUAGCGUAAGACAAAAAAUAAGCUAAACGUACUGCACUGCACUUAAUCGCCCAUCCAAACUCACCCUAAGUGUACAAAAUAUGAUUUAAGUGAAGAUACGUAGGGUAGGUGUCAUGGAAAUGUAAAAGACAAGAAUCCCACUAAUGUAUGGGAUGUGUACAGCUGAAUGUAGGGAGCAAAGAGGAGUGAAUCAUUUUGGUAACAUUUGGACAAGAAACAUAAUGAACAAAAUGAAAGGAGAGGAAGCUAGUAAAAGAUUUUUUUGAGUUAUAUAAUUUGUUUGGCAUAUAUUUUUAUAAUUUUUAAAUAUCAUUUUGGAGUUGAAUUAUAAUUUCUUUUUAUGUUUUAAAACAUAAUUAUUCUAUCUUCAAAGGGUUAGAGUAGAGGUGAGCAUGGGUCGGGCUACUCGGCCCGAAAUGUGAGAGAUUUGGGCAAAAAUAUAGGCUCAAAAAAUGGACUUGGACAAAAAAAUAUAAGACCCGUUGAAAAAUGGGCCGGGCAUUGGGUAAGGCAUUUUUGGCCCUGGGCCCGGCCCAAUCCUAAUUCACUAAAGGACAAAAAAAAUUUGAUUUUUAAAUAUUAUUUUCUUCCUAUUUUGCUACCAUUUUACUAUUAUGUUGCUACUAUUUUGUUGUUAUUUUUUGGAUAUUGUAUAAAACUUAUUUUAUUGUUAAUUUUGUUAUUAUUUUAAAGACAUUUGUUAAUUUUGUUAUUAUUUUAGAGACAUUUGCUUGUUAAGUUGUAUCUAUCUUAGUGUUAUUUAAGUGUACAUAUUUUUUAAAAUUUAUUUUCAAUUUAUUGGGAAAUAUUUAUUUUGAUGUUUUUAGUAUUUUGGAUGUAUUAUAUAUAUUAAAAUUAUAUAAAAAUUAAUAUGGCCGAGCCGAGUCAGGCCCAGAUUUUAGCAUUUUUAUUCAGGUCGGGCUUGAGCAAAAUUUUAAGCCCAUUUUUUGGGCCAAACCAGGCCUGGGCUUAGCAAAUGGGCCUAAAUUUUUAGUCAAGCCCGACCUAAACCCGAUCCGGCCCAUGCUCACCUCUAGAUCAGAGCUGCCCUCGCUUUGCAUUUCUUUGAGAUUCAGUCUUAUCUACUGUUGAUUGCCCACUCAAUGGAGGGUUGAGUAGAAAGAUUUGGUGAAGCAAGCUAAGCUAUCAAUCAAGGUUGGAGAAAGCUUAGGAGGUCACAAUGCAUAAUUAUUUAAAUGUAAUUCUAAUAUUUAAAUAAAAUUUAUUAAUAUAGUAUUAACAAGCCCUAAAUGUAAUGAGUAUAUACUAUUACAUUUUUAAGAAGAGAAAACAUGUUUGAACCUUAAAAACAUCAUUAUUAAAAAUGAUAAUUACAAAUUUUAAAAUAUAAAAAAUAUAAUUAAAAAUUAAUUUUAAACCCGAGCUGGAUAAAAUUCUAAUUUUAGAUAACGAUACUAAUAAGAAAUCAAUAUUAAAAUGAAAAUGAAAAGUAAUUUAAUAUAAUUUUUGAGUCUUGGGCAAAGGCACUCAAUGAAUGCUUGGAAAGAAAUAAUGCAACUUGGUGAUAGCUUUUGUUGGAGUAGUAUGCUCUUAUUAUAGUUUUAUGUUUUUAUCUUGCAAAAACAACAUAUUGGAGUUUUCGGCAUGAUUUUUUCUUAAUACUUUACAUGAAAAAUAAUAAUGGGACUUAAAAAUCUAUCAAAAGCUUCACCAUAAUAAUAAUAAUAAUAAUAAUAAUAAUAAAUUGCUACAAUAUUACAACACAAAGUUACAAUAAGAGCUUAUAACUCAACAAAGGUUAUCAAUAAAUAAUCUCAGGCAAGCUAAAGAGAAAUGUUGAGAAUACCACCCGAAUAGUGACUGACUUUAAAAGUUGAAAACCCGAAGCUAUAGUAUCUCAAACGAAAUCAAACCAUUAACAUUAAAAUUUUCAAGUCUACUAGCUACUGUAAAAAAUGCAGCUCCAACAUACACCAAAUGAGUCUUUGAUCGAAGAAAGUACAAAAACUAGUCUGGGUAAACCAAGCUGCCAAACUUACUUAUCUUAUCUUUAAUUUUGCAGUGAAAUUAAAAAUUAAGUUUUUGUUUAUUUCACUUGGAACAACUUUCAAAAAAUUAUUUUUGAAAAAUGGAUUGGUUUUUCGAAAUAGAUGAUAUUUUAUUGUGUUAAAAUUUUAUUCGUUGUUGGAAAACUUUUUUUAAAUCAUUUUCUUAAAGUUAUUUUUAGUGAAACAAACAUAACAUAAAUAUAUUUGUUACAAAAAAAUUAUAUUAGUAUUUUCUUUUGACAAUUAAAAUUUAUUUUAUGAUAAGACAAUAUUUUGUAAUAAUUAAUAUCAUAUAUAUAUACGUAAUAAAAAAAUCUUGUUUAAUUAAAAUUUAAUUAAAAUUAAAUAUAUUAAUAAAGCUACAUAUAAUCAUAUUUUUUAUAAUUAAAAUAUUAAUAUAAAUAUUUUUCAAUAAUAUAUUAAAAUAUUAAAAUUUAAAUUAUUAUUACUUAAAUUAAUUAUUAAAAUAAAAAAUUUAAUAUUAAAUAAUUUAUUCAAUGAUAAGUUUUAUUAAUAAUUUAUUGUAUUAUUAAAUAUAAUUAAUUAAAUAUGCAUAUUUAAUAAUAUUACGUUAUAAUAUUUUAAUAUUCUUAAACAGCCAUGUUUUUAAGAUGCUGGUGAUGGUGAUGCUGCGGGCCUCUCUUGUUACAAUUACUAUAAUUUUUUGUGCAAUAAUUGAAGUUGUUGGGUGGUCAAGCAAACCUCUUUUGACUGAGAUGCAUAUAAUAUACCCGCAUGUCCCCGCCUCCUAAAAUUUAAAUUUGUUAUUUGAAUCUUUAAAUUUUUUAAUAUAAUAUACCCGCAUGUCCCCGCCUCCUAAAAUUUAAAUUUGUUAUUUGAAUCUUUAAAUUUUUUAAAAAUUUUAAAUUCAUAAAAGUAAAAUUAUACUUUGACCCUCUAAAAUUAUAAAAAUUUAAUUAAUCUUUUAAAUUCAUUGGGCCCCUAAUAUAUUGUUCAGGCUUCACCCUUGAUACUGAUGUUGACUAUUUUAGAGUAUGUGUCUUCUUUAACAGGGUUAAAUUAUAUAUUUAUAUAAUAUAGUUAUUGUUUAUGGACGUGACAUCGUAACUAGGUUCUUAUGCAUGUCAACAUAUAUCCUAUUUUAAGGUUAACACGUAUUUUUAAAUGUGAAUUCACCUAUAUAAUGGUAUGAACCAUCAUGCAGUCUCAUAAAAUAUGCGAAUAUAUGUCGUGCGAACACAAAGUACAAUCCACACAGAAUACGAAUUAAGACCCAAUUGAAUAAUCGGAUACGAAUCAGUAAUAAUGAAUUUCAUAACAGCCACCAACCCCUCUUUUGUUUUAAUUUAUUUUAUUUCCAGUAAGUUAUUGUUUGUGAGAAUUCACAACAAAUGCUUUUGUCAUUAUUUUGUUGGUAAAUAAUAAUAAGAUUAAACUUUACUUUCUUAAGCUCCUUCAAUUCUUUGGAAGUUGGUGGUUUUUUAUUCUAAUCUUAUUUUUUUUAUUAAUUUCUUUUUUUAUAAUAAAUGUGUUUAUAGAUCAGGUUGGAUUAUAAUUGAAUCAUUGUCUGGUAUUAACAUAAUUUAAAUCGAUUAAAAUUUAUUCGACUGGAAAUAUAAAUUUAAAAUUUUACUUCAAUUUAUCUUAAUUUAUAAAUUGUGAAUUUAAAUUUAUUUAUUUUCUCUCAUUAUAUUCAGUUUUUCGGAUCAUAUUUGGCCCAGAACAAAAACUAGAACAAAAAAACAAAUAUAUAUGUUUUCCAAAAAUUAAAUUGUUAACUUUAAAAAAAUAUAUUUUUAGCUAUUUAUCAUCAUAGAGAAAAACAAAUAAGGUCACCUCGCCUUAUGCUUCAACACCUCAACCUAGAUUCUCAUCACCUGUAUUUAUCAUCGAUUCAGAUUUUUAUUUUUACUAUAUUCUAGAUCUACCUAUAAAUAUAUCUUCAAACUUCCUCUGGUUAAGUUCAUUCAUAGAUAGGUGAGUAAACUUGAGCUUCAGCUUCAACAAACACCUUAGUUUGCAAUUCUCUCAUACUAAAAAUAUGGAAGUUUACCAUGUAAUUAGAGAUUUGGUCUCAUUGCUUGUUGUUGGUUUAUUAAUGAUAUGGGGAUGGAGAGCUUUAAACUGGGUAUGGUUGGCCCCAAAGAGGCUCGAAAGGUGCUUGAGACAACAGGGUUUUGCAGGGAAUCCUUACAGGUUCCUUUCUGGUGACAUAAAAGAGCUCUUAACUAUGAGCAGACAAACAAGAGCCAAACCUAUGCCUCUUAGUGAUGAUAUUGGGCCUUAUGUUGCUCCUUUUCUUCAUCAAACUGUCAACCAGUAUGGUAUGUUUAAUUAUUAUUUAAUCUUCAAUUUAUGAUAAUUCUUUGUUAUUUAUGAAUGGAAUUUAUUGGGAGGAAAUGCAGGAAAGAAUUCAUUUACGUGGAUUGGUCCAAGACAAAGGGUGAACAUUAUGGACCCUGAAAAAAUAAGAGAAAUAUUUACCAAAUUUAAUGACUUCCAGAAGGUGCGUACCAAUCCACUGCUUACUUUGCUUGUAAGCGGCCUUGUUAACCUCGAAGGAGACCGAUGGAGCAAACAUAGAAAAAUCAUAAACCCUUCAUUUCAUCAAGAUAAGUUGAAGGUAUAGAAUAGUGAUGGGUACUUAAGACUUAAUUUACAGAAAACAUGAUACUUAAAUCUAUGCUUUUCUGAUUUAGAAAUGAUUGGAUGCAGAAUAUGUUGCCAGCAUUUUAUCAAAGUUGUUGUGACAUGUUAAGCAAAUGGGAGAAGAUGGUGUGUACAGAAGGAUACAGUGAGUUAGAUGUGUGGCCUUAUCUUGUAGAUUUGACAAGAGAUGUGAUUUCCCGAUCUGCUUUUGGAAGCAGCUUCGAAGAAGGCAGACGAAUUUUCCAAUUACUAGAUGACCAACUCGUUCUCAGAAUCAAAUUACUACAAACUGUUUACAUUCCAGGAUGGAGGUAACCCUCAAUUUACUUGAAAAAGGUUGCAAAUGUUGGAAUUGGCUAAAUUCGUGUUUGUUUCCUUGAAGGUUUUUGCCCACAAAGACAAACAGGGAGGUGAAGAUGAAACACAAAGACAUAAAAGAGUCGCUCAGGGAAAUGAUAAAAAGAAGAGAGCAGGCAAUUAAAGCAGGGGAAGAGAGCAAUGAGGACUUGUUGGACAUACUUGUGGAAUCCAAUAUCAGAGAAAUGGAAGCAAAGAAAAAGGGGAUGAGCAUUGAGGAUGUGAUUGAGGAAUGCAAGCUGUUUUACUUUGCUGGCCAGGAGACCACUUCGGUCUUACUGGUGUGGACUAUGGUUUUAUUAGCAAGGUAUCCCGAUUGGCAAAGUAAAGCAAGAGAGGAGGUUUUGCAUGUUUUGGGUGACAGUAAACCUGAUGCUGAUGGCCUUAAUCGCCUCAAAGUUGUAAGUCCCUAGCAUGUCUUUUGAAGGUCCGAUCAAUAAGGUCGACAACUCAAAAAUUUGGUUUCUUUUUUCGCUAAUUCUACAGUUAACAAUGAUAUUGUACGAGGUUCUAAGGCUGUACCCAUCAGCGACUGAGCUAGGACGUUCCGUUCCAAAAGAAAUAAAACUGGGAAAUUUGUUGUUACCAGCAGGAACAGAAAUUUCGGUUCCGAUCCUGCUGAUCCACCAUGACAAAGAUCUUUGGGGCGAUGACGCACGGGAAUUUAAGCCAGAGCGGUUCGCGGAAGGGGUUUCCAAAGCAACAAAGAGUCAAGUCACGUUUCUGCCAUUCGGAUGGGGUCCUAGGAUCUGCAUUGCCCAGAAUUUUGCUAUGAUGGAAGCCAAAAUGGCGGUGGCCAUGAUUCUCCAACGCUUCUGGUUCGAGCUUUCCCCUUCCUAUGCUCACUCUCCUUGCAGCAUGGUAACGCUUCGUCCACAGCAUGGUGCACAGAUUAUUUUACAUAAACUUGGCUCUAAUUGAGUAGUUAUGUAAACAAAUCAUUGUGAAAAUAGUGUUUUAACGUAUCGUAAAAACUCCGGUGUCUGUAAUGGAACAAUUCCGAUGCAUGGAUAGUAAAUUUUGUGAUGUUUGGUGAAGUCCGAAAUAAUAUGCAGAACUUGAGUGUCCUGAAUGGAUGUAGUAUUUAAUGGUGGACAUAGUUGAGGGACUAAUGUGGGAAUUAUCAAACAAAGAAUUGCAUAUGGUACAAAGACUUGUAUGGAAAUUAGAGCAGGGGGAGUAGAAAAUGACUACUUCUACGGGCAUCAAUUGAGAAAGAUUUCCGGUGCAAAUGUUAGCAAAUUUUUGAGCUUCAGCCUUAAACAUUAGCAAGAUUGCAAUACCGGGAUUAUCUAGUGUUGGUUGCCCACUCAAUUGAGGGUUAAGUUGAAGGAUUUGUUGAAGCAAGCUAAGCUAUCAAUCAAGGUUGGAGCAAGCUUAGGAGGUCACAAUACAUCAUUAUUGCAUAAUUAUUUAAAUGAAAUUUAAUAUUUAAAUAAAAAAUAUUAAUAUAGUACCAACAAUAUUCCAUUUCUUUUAACCAAGUGUUUCUAGAUUAUGAAAUUCAUUAAUGAUUUGUAAAAUAUAUUGAUGCGAUCCCGGCCGCAUCAUGUUUCGAUACAACUCGAUGACCUCAGAAUUGACCUAAACUCUAGGGGCCCAAGUGCAAAAUGAAGCUUAAUUUCAGCUCAAUGAGCUCAAUUCUAGCUUCUUCAAGCUCGUCUAGUUCAACCCAAGCUCAUUUAGCUUAACUUCAACCCAUUUUUAAUUUGUUGGAAUAAGUAUUUAGUUGCUGGAAUAAAUUACUCAUCUUAGUUAAUUGAGUUCAUCUUAGUUAAUUAAGUUGUUGGAAUAUAUUACUCAUCUUAGUUAAUUUAGUUGCUAGAAUAAUUUAUUGUUGCAUGUGUUUUUAAGUUUAUUAAAUUCAGUUAAGUGUUAAAUGUGUUUAUUUACAGUUUAUUAACUAAGCUUGUUAAGUCUAAUAUGUGUUAAAAUGUGUUUAAUGUGUUUGUUUGUAGGUGACUAAUCAGUUGGAAACAAUUAUGUACAAGGGCUGUUACAAAGUGUUAAAUGCGACUAUUCAUUUGGAAUCGGUUACAUACAAGGGGCUAUUACAUUAUUUAAAGGAGAGCAUUAUACAUCAUUUAAAGGAGAAUUUAAAGCUUUUCUUAAAACUUUUUGGCUGCUCAAGAAUGAAAUCUAAGCAUUCAAGCUUAUUAAAUCAACUGAAUUAGAACAUUAAAUGAUCUUAUUGAUAGUUGCUGUUAUUUAGGCCUAGAAUUUCAAGAGUUUGUGCUUAGUGACUAAGUUAAUUUCAGCUCAUUAUUAGCUCAUUAAGCUGAACAAAAGUGACUAUUCGGCUAGGCCUCAUCUAGCACUAUAAAUACUUGUAAUCAGCUCAUUGUAAAAAAAACUUUUUGCUGAAUUUAUGCUAAAUUUGAAACUUGUGAGAUUUCCAAUUCUCGUUGUUCUUUCGAGAUUGAAUUGACUUAUCAAGUUUUCUUGUGGCAUCAUUCUUUCUUUUGUUUAAACCGAAUCUUAUCACCUUUUGGUGUGGCGUUCAUAUACAUUUGGUUCCUAUCACUUUUGAUAGUGGGUAAAGGUCAUUGCUGCUUUCUUUAAAUCGUAAAUCACCUAAGAGCCAUUUUGAGACUCGGGUCAACAAUCUAAUAUUGUUGGUUCAUUCUCGGUCUUAGCCAAAUUAUCCAUUAUUUACUUAACCAUUUUACCUACUACCAUUGUUUGAAGCCAUUUAUCCUAUUUUGUUUCAUUUAACUGAAACGAACUUAUCCUUACUCAAUUCACGAUCGGGUAAUCUAAACGACUCGAAUCAUUCCGAAACGAGUUCGUAUCAUAUAUCCUCCAUUCUUAUUGAGUGGGUGUAAUGAAAAUUCUCCUAUUUCUAAUUGUGAUAAAGUAGAAACUCUCUUUAGAAAAAAGGCAGCAACAUUUUUCAAUUAUUAAUUGAACACCUUGGUGAAUUUUCGUUUUUUUUCUUUUUUUCUUUUUACGGUUCAAUUUUCGUUUGGGUAUUGUAAUUUCAGGUUAAUCAUUGUUUGGUUGAUAUUCUCAACUUCAAUCUUUAAUUUACUUGAGAUUAUUAGUUGAUUGUUUUUGUUGGAAUUAUAUGAUUUUAUUGUGUAUUUAUGUUUUAAUCUUUUAGAAAGAAGUUUUUAUGUGGACUUUCAAGCUUCGUAAUUUUUAUUAUUUGCUUUACGUAAAAAAAACUCGUGGGAUACAAAAAUUCACAAAAAAACUUGCUAUAAGAUUACAACACAAAACCAUAAGCUUAUAACUCAACAAAAGCUAUCAAUAAAUAAUCUCAAGCUAGCUAAAGAGAAAUGUAAAGAAUAUCACCCAAACAGUAACUUGCUUUAAAAGUUAAAAAUCCAAAGUUAUAGUACCCCAAACGAAAAUCGAAUAUUAAACAUUAAAGAUCUUCGAUUCUACUAGCUAUUGUAAAAAAAAAAAAUUCCAACGGACACCAAAUAGACCUUUGAUCGAAGAAAAUACGAAAACUAGUCUGGUUAAAACUACAUGCCAAACUCACUUUUUCUCAUUUCUUUAACUUGCGGUGAAAUUCAAAACUAAGGUUAUAUUUUUUUCACUGAAAUUAACUUUAAAAAAAUUAUCUCUAAAAAAUGAUUGAUUUUUCAAAAAAGAUUGAUAUUUUUUUAUGUUUGGAUGAUUUUUUGUAAAAUAUAUUUCGUUGUUUGACAAAUUUUUUUGAAAUAAUUUUCUUAGAGUUGUUUUUAGUAAAACAAACAUAAGAUAGAUAUAUUUGUUACAAAAGAUUAUAGUAACAUUUUCUUUUGACAAUUUAAAUUUAUUUUAUAACCAGAUGAUAUUUUAUAAUAAUUAAUAUUAUAUAUAAACUUAAUAAUAAACAAUAUCUAAUUAAAACUUAAUUUAUAUUAAAUAUAUUAAUAAAGCUAAGUAUAAUUUAAACAAAUACUCAUGUUUUAUAUCAUUAAAAUAUUAAUAUAAAUAUUUUUCAAUAAUAUAUUAAGAAUAUUAUUUAAAAUUUAAAAUUAUUAUUUUUAAAAUUAAUUAUUAAAAUAAAAAUGUAAUAUUAAAUAAUUUAUCAAAAUGAUAAGUCAUAUUAAUAAUUUAUUAGAUUAUUAAAUAUAAAUAAUUAAAUAUGUAUAUUUAAUAAUAUUGAACAUUAUAAUAUUUUUUAUUAAUAUUUUAAUAUUAUUAAUAUAAUAAUAUUGGACUUGAUUCAAGUUAAUUUUUAUAUAAAAAAAUAAAAUUACAUGUAAAUGAACUCAUUUUCAAAAAAAUAACUUGUACUUUUAAAAAAGGUAAACUAAUUUACAGAAAAAUAAACUUAUUUUCUGUUAAUCUAUAAUUUUUUUUGUUAAUCAAAUUAUUUUCAUGAAAUAAAUAUAAAAAAAUACAAAAAAAAAACAGUUUCCAUAUUAACACUCAAUACUAAACUGUCAUUUUCCUCAGCUUCCCUAAUUUGUAUGUAGCAGUGAACGUUUGAUCGAAUCGAGUAAAAAAAAUUGAGUUGACGAGUCAUAUUUUAUCAUCUUAACUUGAUUUGAGAUUUUUUUAAAUCAAGUCAAAGACUAAGAGCACAUAAAUUUGAAACCUUAUCUAUUUGAAUUUGUUUUUAAAAAAAAAGAAAAAAAAUACUUUAGCAUGAUAAACUUGAAUUGUGAAUUAACUUAUUUAGAUCCCAAAAUUAUUAUUUUAUAAUUUUUUUAAAAAAUAUAAAUUUUAAAAUUUUUAUAAAUAUUUUGAAUUGAAUUUUUGUUGAGAGAGAGACCGAUCUAUCAUUUUCAAAAUUAAAAAAAAGACCAAACUAUAUUUACAGCAAUUUAUUAUUCGAAUUAUUUAAAUUAUAUAAUUUAACUCAAUUUAAAAUCGAAACUCGAAUAACUAAAUUUAAUUAACCCGAAAUUUAUUUUUUAAAUUUUUUAAAUCAAAUCGAAUUUUGUUCGCCCUACAUCAAUAACUUUGUAUCCAUAUCAAGCUUUUUUUUAAGCUAUAUAUAUUAUUUUAGAGAAUACAUGGUCACCACGGUUCAAUGAUUGAACACCACUCCACUCUCCACUUUUUUUUGUGGUUUAUCCUCUUAAUUUUUUGAGGAUAUCAUUUACUAAAUAAUUUAUUUUUUACAUAAAUUUUAAUAUAUAUUAAUAAUAAAUUAAUUCAAUUGGUAAUAUUUAACUAUUCUCAUGACUCAUUUUUAAUAAAGAAAAUAAUAAAAUUCAAUUAUGAUAAGGAGGUUUUAUUUUUAACAAAAAUUAUUUUUUAUAUUUCUAAGUUUAAAUCUAAAUUUAUACAAGUUAUUCUUUAUUUUAUAUCUAAUUAUUGUAAAACAUAAAUAAUAAUUUUUUUUUUUCCUUUUCAUGCUACCAAACAAUCCAUUAAUCAUUAAUUAUAUUAAAAUCUUUGACUUAUUAAUAUUUAUGGACAGUAAAUCGGAUGCUAAAGAAAUCUUAGUCAAACCAAAAAGAAAGAAGAGAUAGAGGUGGGCAAAGCUGAGGUUCAGCUUUCAUAAACACCUUCAUUUGAAGACACAGUUCUCAUACUCAAACCAAAAGACAUGGAAGUUUUCCUUGUAAUUAGAGAUCUGGUUUCACUGCUUGUUGUUGGGUUAUUAAUGAUAUGGGGAUGGAGGGCUUUAAACUGGGUAUGGUUGACCCCAAAGAGACUCGAAAGGUGCUUGAAACAACAGGGUUUUGCAGGAAAUCCUUAUAGGUUCCUUUCUGGAGACAUCAAAGAGAGCUUCACUAUGAGCAGACAAACAAGAGCCAAACCUAUGCCUGUUAGUGAUGAUAUUG